rnacentral:rRNA from 1 species
UAGGGAAUCUUCGGCAAUGGACGGAAGUCUGACCGAGCAACGCCGCGUGAGUGAAGAAGGUUUUCGGAUCGUAAAGCUCUGUUGUUAGAGAAGAACGUUGGUAGGAGUGGAAAAUCUACCAAGUGACGGUAACUAACCAGAAAGGGACGGCUAACUACGUGCCAGCAGCCGCGGUAAUACGUAGGUCCCGAGCGUUGUCCGGAUUUAUUGGGCGUAAAGCGAGCGCAGGCGGUUCUUUAAGUCUGAAGUUAAAGGCAGUGGCUUAACCAUUGUACGCUUUGGAAACGGGAGGACUUGAGUGCAGAAGGGGAAAGUGGAAUUCAAUGUGUAGCGGUGAAAUGCGUAGAUAUAUGGAGGAACACAGGUGGCGAAAGCGGCUCUCUGGUCUGUAACUGACGCUGAGGCUCGAAAGCGUGGGGAGCAAACAGG